GUCUAAGGCCAGACCAUUAGAAUGCACCUGAUCUUGUGUGACCUUAGAAGCUAAGCAGAGUCAAUCAAGACUGGCUACAGUUGGAUGGGAGACCACCGGGGAAUACACCUUAGAGC
rnacentral:rRNA from 14 species